rnacentral:rRNA from 1 species
GACGAGCGCUGGCGGCGUGCUUAACACAUGCAAGUCGUACGGUAAGGCCCUUUCGGGGGUACACGAGUGGCGAACGGGUGAGUAACACGUGAGUAACCUGCCCACAACUUUGGGAUAACGCUAGGAAACUGGUGCUAAUACUGGAUAUGUGCCCCUGCUGCAUGGUGGGGGUUGGAAAGCUCCGGCGGUUGUGGAUGGACUCGCGGCCUAUCAGCUUGUUGGUGGGGUAGUGGCCUACCAAGGCGGCGACGGGUAGCCGGCCUGAGAGGGUGACCGGCCACAUUGGGACUGAGAUACGGCCCAGACUCCUACGGGAGGCAGCAGUGGGGAAUAUUGCACAAUGGGCGCAAGCCUGAUGCAGCAACGCCGCGUGCGGGAUGACGGCCUUCGGGUUGUAAACCGCUUUCAGCAGGGACGAAGCUUUUUGUGACGGUACCUGCAGAAGAAGCACCGGCUAACUACGUG